rnacentral:tRNA from 3 species
GGAGGGGUGGCAGAGUGGUCGAAUGCACUGGUCUUGAAAACCAGCGUACCGCAGGGUACCGGGGGUUCGAAUCCCUCCCCCUCCG